rnacentral:rRNA from 1 species
GCUUACGGCCAUACCAGCCUGGGUACACACGAUCUCGUCUGAUUUCGGAAGCUAAGCAGAGUCGGGCCUGGUUAGUACUUGGAUGGGAGACCGCCUGGGAAUACCAGGUGCUGUAAGCA